rnacentral:tmRNA from 1 species
GCCCUUUUCCGAGGACCCCGAAGCUACUAUAUUGGUGAUGUCGGGCAACCGACUAUGGUGAUAAACGUCGUUCGAAAUAAGCGACGCGGACCCGGGGGCAGUACCCGGCGCCUCCACCAGUUUCUCUGGCGCCCGAUCGGGGCGCCAGGCCCAUGGGGGCGAUACAGGAUCGACGCGCGCGGUAAAGGUGCGAUUUUCGCCCGGUAUGGUACCACCGUUAUCGGGCCAAACUCACAAAUGCCAAUGAUAACGAGGCAUUUGCUGUAGCCGCUUAGGCUGCAACGGGGUUCGGAGGGCACCUGGCAACAGAAGCCCUCCACU